UACGAAGGGGGCUAGCGUUGCUCGAAAUCACUGGGCGUAAAGCGCACGUAGGCGGCUUUUUAAGUCAGGGGUGAAAUCCUGGAGCUCAACUCCAGAACUGCCUUUGAUACUGGGAAGCUUGAGUCCGGAAGAGGUGAGUGGAACUCCGAGUGUAGAGGUGAAAUUCGUAGAUAUUCGGAAGAACACCAGUGGCGAAGGCGGCUCACUGGUCCGGUACUGACGCUGAGGUGCGAAAGCGUGGGGAGCAAACAGG
rnacentral:rRNA from 1 species